rnacentral:rRNA from 1 species
GAUGAACGCUGACAGAAUGCUUAACACAUGCAAGUCAACUUGAACUUCGGUUUGGGUGGCGGACGGGUGAGUAACGCGUAAAGAACUUGCCUCACAGUUAGGGACAACAUUUGGAAACGAAUGCUAAUACCUGAUAUUAUGAUUUUAGGGCAUCCUAGAAUUAUGAAAGCUAUAUGCGCUGUGAGAGAGCUUUGCGUCCCAUUAGCUAGUUGGAGAGGUAACGGCUCACCAAGGCGAUGAUGGGUAGCCGGCCUGAGAGGGUGAACGGCCACAAGGGGACUGAGACAGGGCCCUUACUCCUACGGGAGGCAGCAGUGGGGAAUAUUGGACAAUGGACCAAGAGUCUGAUCCAGCAAUUCUGUGUGGACGAUGAAGUUUUUCGGAAUGUAAAGUGCUUUCAGUUGGGAAGAAAAAAAUGACGAUACCAACAGAAGAAGUGACGGCUAAAUACGUG